rnacentral:snRNA from 1 species
AUACCAAUGCUACAAAAUAUAAAAUGAUCACGCAGGUGUUUUUCCCGUGGCAUGGCUUAUCCAUUGAACCUGGAAUGUGCUAUGGUUUCCCCGAAUGUGGGAAACGCAACUUCACAAGCUUUGGUAGUUGGGGGAUGGCAUAUGUGUUCUCCCCUG